rnacentral:rRNA from 1 species
AUUGAACGCUGGUGGCAUGCUUUACACAUGCAAGUCGAACGGUAACAGGUCUUCGGAUGCUGACGAGUGGCGAACGGGUGAGUAAUACAUCGGAACGUGCCCGAGAGUGGGGGAUAACGAGGCGAAAGCUUUGCUAAUACCGCAUACGAUCUCAGGAUGAAAGCAGGGGACCGCAAGGCCUUGCGCUCACGGAGCGGCCGAUGGCAGAUUAGGUAGUUGGUGGGAUAAAAGCUUACCAAGCCGACGAUCUGUAGCUGGUCUGAGAGGACGACCAGCCACACUGGGACUGAGACACGGCCCAGACUCCUACGGGAGGCAGCAGUGGGGAAUUUUGGACAAUGGGCGCAAGCCUGAUCCAGCCAUGCCGCGUGCAGGAUGAAGGCCUUCGGGUUGUAAACUGCUUUUGUACGGAACGAAAAGACUCUGGUUAAUACCUGGGGUCCAUGACGGUACCGUAAGAAUAAGCACCGGCUAACUACGUGCCAGCCGCCGCCGUAACAC